UCCUCCAAACUGGCCAGAACAGUGUCACUGUGCGUGUCUGAGUGGACGACCAGCUGCCCAGAAGGCUCUGAGGAUGUGUCUGCCAUUUUCCUCAGAGGACCAAGGAGCGUGAAGCCUGAAAUAAGAAAGUGGUGAUCAAAAGAGGAGGCGGCAUCAUCUAACUGGUUCAUCCCCGUCCAGACGAACUACUAGGCGUGUGACUCGCGUCACACUGUUAACCCAACUUUCCCACGUCACCACUUUCAGAAAGCGACGUAAAAAACGUAGCUGGGGACCCUCCCCGUUGCUGGACACCGUCACCUAGCUCGGCGAAUUUCCGGCCGCCGCGUUCCUCCUCGGGGUCUGCGUCCUCCUCCCCCGGAAAACGAAGGAAUGGGAGCCGACCAUCUCGAAAGUCCUUCCUCGGCACUAACUUUGCACCGCUGCACACACGUCAGGAUGGGAAACUACGGUGUCUCGAGUUCACGCCCUGCUAACCAUCUUGUCUGCGAAAACACAGAAAAAAAGGGGCACAGGAAAUGGACACGAGCGACAGGAAUCCGGGGGGAGCUGCGCUGGAGGAAUGACCGCGGCGCAGCGGGCCUCGCCCUGCAAGGAUGCCGAAGGUCGCGUGAAGGUCUCGGAUGUGUGACGAAUGAAUGACAUCAUUAACACGUACUGCCAUCAUCGUCACUGUCAUCAUCUAAUGCGAAUGUAAUCAUUAUUACGGUUGGCCUCCUAAUUAUUUUUGCACGUCUGUCUUGUCCUUUUCCUUCCCACGCCCAAUUUCCCCGGGCCAAGGGCGUGAAGAGAGGUGCUCUGUCUAGUCCGACAGCUCUGGGGACUCAGUGAGCUUGGGCAGAUUACUGGUCCUCUGAACCUUGUUUUACCUUACCUGUGAAAUGGAGGUGUCAAGGCCAAGUGUCAGCCAGGUUGGGUAGCUGUGGGCAAACAAAGAUUAGGACUCGUGGCGGGCCAGGUGGAAUGGGCUGCUCUACCUGACUUCUACAGCAGCAGAAAGAGAAGUCAAUCUGAGGAGUCAGCUACCCCAUGAUUUGUCACUGCCACAGAACUGCAGGAAAACAUUGCUCCUAUGCAGGUCCUCAAUCCAACAGCUGAAGAUGACUCAGGGCCCAAAGCUGCAAAGACCAACAAAGCCCAGUACCGACUGGCUUCUGGGUGAAUUGGGUCAAUGAAGAACCCAGUAGGGGUUUGAAGGAAGGAGAAGAUCACGAUCACUUGGGAUUUAGAGAAGCUGCCAGACUGCCUCUGCUAUCAGGACCCUUGACCACCCGGCAAGGAAUUCCAGAAACCACAGUUGCAGCAAAGAUUCUGGAGCCCUGAGCGGGCAAAGAAGAUGUGAGCCCCUCCUGAUGAAACGUGGCCCUUUUAUGAGAAUACUCCUCUCUGGGAACAAUCUUUUGAAUAUCUCCUUGGAAGGAACAUCCAACUCAAAGAUGACCAUGGGGAUGACUGACCUAGCUUCCAAGACACUCAUCUGAUAUUUAGUUACAGGGUAGCCAUCGAUGAUAACACUAACAAGGAGAAACAUGAAAAUAAUUCCAAAUUUCUUUUCUCUCAUAUCUUCCUUCCUGUCUUCUAGAACCAGUUUAUCUCUUUAGGAAUAGCCUCUUGCUCUUUAUUUUAUAACUUGACUUAUCUUCUUUGCACUUUGCCCUCUUUAUCUCUAUAUUUUUAAGCUGCGUCAGCCCAAGAGCCAGAUGUAGGGCAGCAAACAGACAGACACAGCUCUGAAUUCAUACACUUAGCCUCACAGAGCUAGGCUUGGGCAGAACUCAAGAGGUAACAAAUAAUACCUUGAAUGUUGUGUCAUUCAAUUGGUGCUAUUAUUCUAAGCAUGAAACAGUGAAAAGAAUACACGUUUCAGAGGCAAACAGACUUAGAUUUGAGACCUAGCUUGAACUUUCUGAGCCUGAGUUCUCAGUAAAAUGGGGAAAUGAUAUUCAACCCUAAGAGUUGUCCCAAAGACUUAUAGAUCUAGUAUGUAAAGGAACUAGAAUAGGCUCUGACACAAUGAAUAGUAUCUUAGUAAGAGCAAAUAUGGGAAAACAAUUGUGCUCUAAGCUUAGUUUUUCUUUUUUAAAUAUUUAUUUAUACAUUUAUUUGAGAGAGAGCAGGAGGGGAGGGGCAGAAGGAGA